rnacentral:rRNA from 1 species
UGGGGAAUAUUGCACAAUGGGCGCAAGCCUGAUGCAGCCAUGCCGCGUGUAUGAAGAAGGCCUUCGGGUUGUAAAGUACUUUCAGCGAGGAGGAAGGCGUUGUGGUUAAUAACCGCAACGAUUGACGUUACUCGCAGAAGAAGCACCGGCUAACUCCGUGCCAGCAGCCGCGGUAAUACGGAGGGUGCAAGCGUUAAUCGGAAUUACUGGGCGUAAAGCGCACGCAGGCGGUCUGUCAAGUCGGAUGUGAAAUCCCCGGGCUCAACCUGGGAACUGCAUCCGAAACUGGCAGGCUAGAGUCUUGUAGAGGGGGGUAGAAUUCCAGGUGUAGCGGUGAAAUGCGUAGAGAUCUGGAGGAAUACCGGUGGCGAAGGCGGCCCCCUGACAAAGACUGACGCUCAGGUGCGAAAGCGUGGGGAGCAAACA